UACGAGUGCCUCAAGCGUUAUCCGGAAUCAUUGGGCGUAAAGGUUGUGUAGGUGGUUGUGUUAGUCUCUUGUUAAAUUCUUCGGCUUAACCGGGGGCAUGCAAGGGAAACGGCACGACUCGAGGAUGCGAGGGGUCUGCGGAACUCAUAGUGUAGCGGUGAAAUGCGUCGAUAUUAUGGGGAACACCAAAAGCGAAGGCAGCAGACUGGAGCACUCCUGACACUGAAACAAGAAAGCGUGGGUCGCGAAUGGG
rnacentral:rRNA from 1 species